GGUAGCAUCAACAUUAUGUACAAAAUAAGUUACAAACAGUGUGAAAAAACACACAAAAUAGCACAAUUGGUUAAGAGCCCGUAAAACGGCAGACAUCCCCUCCGGCGCCAUUCUUCUGAAUUAGCAAAUGUGCCUAACGUUAGUGAUUAGCGCUAACUAGCUAACAUUAUUUAACAUUAAUUAACAUGUCACCACAGGGAAAAGUGUGACUACAUAUGAACGGUGACCUAACGUUAACUAGCUGGCUAUCAAAGGACUUGUGGGUUCAAUGUUUUCCCAUACAAAACACAAAACGGUUUUGUUCCACGAGUGCAUCUGUACACGACUAAUCAAAUGACCUGUGAAGUCAGUUAUACACGUCAACAGGGAUGGAAAUUAAACUAGCCCAAGGAUAGUACUUUUCAGACUGGGCUAGUAGACAAUGUGCCAAACUAGCCUGACACAACAGUGAAAUGGCUAGUAGAAAAUGUGCCAAACUUUACAAACAUCGCAUGCCACAGAUUUAGGACCCGGGCUAGUAGAAAAUUGUUGUCUGCUGGCCAGUGCCCAAAAUCCUUAUGUUCCAUCCCUGCAUGUCAGUCCCUUUCAGAUGAUCCCCCUAUCACUGUUUGUCCUCCUCAAUGACCUCACCGCUGAGGGUUUUAACUUCCCCCUUGAUAAUUAGAAUCAGAAGUACAGUCAUAUAGCUCAUCACAAUACUAAACCUCUUCGUCAAAUAGUACCCUAGACAGUCCUGAUCAUUUAGUUGAGCAUUCCUGAUAAUUCCAUCCCAGCAGAAAUGUCCCAUUCACAUUGUAGGAUUUUAGAUGUGCAGAUAGAUGAAAGCCCAGUCCAUUUUACAGUUACUUUAGUCAAGUGUAGGUCUGUGGGUUAUGGAAUUUUAAUAUAGAUUUGACCAUUUUAGUAAUCAACUUAGCUAGCUAGUAAAAGUUAAAAUGUUUUUUAUUUCAGAUUGGUGGACCGGAAACCCAGUGGCAACAAUCAGGUCUGUAUCUGUCAUUUUCCAGUGGGAAAGAGAAAUGGCCCUGUAUUUACCAGAGAAAGAUCCAGACUGUUGAUUGGGAAAAAAGAACAAACAAUGAGGCAUGAGGAUUGGGUGUUGAGGGACCAUUUGUCACAUUGUCCAAGGUGGGUUUGUAUUAUGAUAAACAAUGCAUUUUCUGUCCAGAUAAAGAUGUUGAUAGGGCAUUGAGAAAGACCCACCACUGACCUAAUGUCUCUUUGUUUUCCAGUCCAAAAGGAGUGCAUCCCUUGUGCCAUCUGGUGCACGGACAUCCUUUGCCAGUGUGAUCCGAGUGCAAGUGUCAAGUUGUAGAGACUACAACAGAUCGAGCCUGUGGACGGACAGACAUGAGGAGUGACAUGCGGAACACCAGGCUCACCCCACGAGAAGCAGUGCAUAAUCAACACCAUCCUCAGCAAGAAGAUAUGCUGGAAAUGAUGUACUCUCUCUAACUCUGGGGUUGCUGACAAGCCGAGCAAUAGGAGUCUGUCAGACGUUGUCACGCUGGAUGGGGAUGGUGAUGGAGGAUUUGGUGGUUCACACAACGAAGAAGCAGAUAUCCCUUCCAGUGAUGUGGAGUUGACGUUGGACCUGGUGCCAGGAAGGAUUGUCUUCACAGAGGCAGUAAAACCCUCCUUCCUUCAUAUAGGAAUCCUUCAACUUCACUGUCUCUUCAAUAGUAAGGUCCCUUGCACCAUAGGGACACUUGACCUCCAACACAGCUGUGGUGCCCACCCAGAAUCCCAGUCCCCGUGAACAAAAGCCCUCCUGCACAUCCAUCCCUGUAGCCAUUUUAAAUGCCUUGAUGCCCUCCUCUUUGUUACCUGUGCCCCACUUUACAGACACCCAUCCAACAACUGUGAUCUGAGGACCCUUUUUUAGCAGUGAUGGAGUAACACGCUUGGCCCUAACCACUGCUCCAUAAUUUAUGGCUGUCAACCUCCAUCUUCUCAUGGUGUGUCAGUUGGGGUUGGUGCACUGUCGAACUGUUGCCUGCCAUAUAGCUUUCGGCUGCUCCACCAACAGCUCCAUGCCAACCAGGAUGCCGGCUUGCCCAAUGUGCCUUUAUUUUUUAUUUUUAUUUUUUUUACAAUUUCCAGUACAGACAGGGAUGACAGGGAGGGUAGCAGUUGUUCUGGCUCAGUUUCAGGGAGACAUGCCAUUCCACUGAACCUGCCCCAGAGAUGGUUCCUUAGCUACUGAAGAUCCUCCUCUGUGGGCUCUCGGGACAGAGGGUUGUAGUCUUCGGCCAGGUACAGGUCCUCCACUGACUGCACCUAGUUGGGCACGGCUGGCUUCCUCCACUAGCAUUCCACAUCCGUACGGCUGAUAUUGUGACCCACCAAAAUAGGCUUCAUGGCUACCUGUAUGAGCUCCACGGAGGCAUAGAGGGAAUCACCUGGUCACCUACAGAGACCUGCCAAGAUGGAAGAUGUUAAGUGCCACAUGCCUUUCAAUACAUUCAUUUGAACACCUUAAAAUACAUUUGUUGUAAAAAAUGUGCUGUAUAAAUAAAGUUUGAUUUGAAUGAUGACAGAAUCUGGUUAAUGAUAAUUGAUUAAGUGUAUCGUUCUUUGUAGAAUGUUGACAGGUCAAUGGCAGGCAGUGGUCAACAAUCCAGAUCAGAGUCCGAAACAGGAGACAAAGGGCUGUGAGACAUAGUUUUAAUCCUAGACACAUGAAAAGUGGGAUGUAUACGGAGGGUACGGGGCAACAGAAGAUGAACAGCAGAAGGGGCUAAUCAUUGUGGGGAUGGGGAAAGGGCCAGUAAAAUGGGGGGAAAGUUUGCAGGACUCCACCCGGAGGGGCAGAUCUCAAGUAGACAGCCAUACCCUCUUCCCGAGACGACACCGGGGAGCCGAAGUCCGGUGUCAGUCCGCUUGUCGCCGAUACCUGGAGGUAGUCUUGAGAAGAGCCGACUGGGCUCUCUUCCAGGUACGGCGACAGUGGCGGACAAACAUCUGGCCCGAGGGUAUGCCGGCCUCUUCCUCUUGCUCCGGGAAGAGCAGGGGAGGGUGUUGCCCUCGAAAGGCGAGAGUCCGGUGGCAGAGCAGGGGAGGGUGUAGCGGGCUUAUUCAACACACACGAGUUGCUGGCUCCAGGUGGUGGGGUUGGCGGAGACAAGGCAGCGAAGAGUGGUCUCAAGGUCUUGAUUGGCUUGCUCUGACUGGCCGUUGGACUGAGGGUGGAACCCGGAGGACAGGCUGGCCGACGACCCAAUGAGUGUGCAUAACGCCUUCCAGAACCGGGACUAGAACUGAGGACCCCGGUCGGAGACCAUGUCCACCGGGAGUCCAUGGAUCCGGAAGACGUGCUGCACCAUGAGCUGGGCCGUCUCUUUGGCAUAGGGUAGCUUGGGGAGAGGAAUGAAAUGGGAGGCUUUGGAAAACAGGUCCUCUACUGUCAGGAUUGCAGUGUUGACAUCAGACGGCGGGAGACCUGUGGAGAGGUCCAGGGAUAUGUGAGACCAGGGACGGUGAGGGACAGGCAAUGGUUGAAUGAGACCAGCUGGAGCUUGCCAAGGAGUCUUGUUCUGCGCACAGAUCGUGCAGGCAGCGAUGAAUGCGGAGAUGUCACCAAAUGGUAGGUCACCAAAAGCGUUGCCGCACAAAGGCCAGGGUCUGAUGGGAGCCCGGGUGGCAGUCUAGCCUGGAGGAUAGGUCCCACUCCAGGAGCGAGGGGUGGACAGCAUCAGGAUCAAACAUCUGGUUAUGUGGGCCCCCCAGGGUUUUGCUGGGAACAUUGCACCUGAUGGACCUGCUUCUCUAUUCCCCAGCUGAUUAACGUCGCCAGGCACGAGGAGGGAAGGAUGGUCUCGGGGUCCGAGGGUGUAGCCGCGGGGCUAUAGUGGCAUGGCAGCGCAUCCUGCUUGAUAUUCUUGGAUCCCUGUUGGUAGGAGAGGGAGAAGUUAAUCCAGGUGAAAAGCAGGGCCCACCUAGCUUGCCUGGAAUUGAGACGCUUGGCGGUGUGGAGAUAGUCCAGGUUCUUGUGAUCAGUCCACACAAUGAACGGAUGUUCCGCCCCCUCCAACCAGUGUUUCCACCCCUACAACGCCAUCUUCACUGCGAGAAACCCCACAUCGUAAUUCCUCUCUGUGGUGUUUAGGUGAUGGGAGAAGAAGGCGCAGGGGUGUAACUUGAGGUCAAGGGCAGAACGCUGGGACAGGACAGCCCCACUCCGACAUCCGAAGCAUCGGCCUCCACCACGAACUGACGGGACGGGUCAGGAGGAACCAAUAUGGGAGCUGUGGUGAAGCAGUGCUUGAGGUCCCGUAAUGCCCGGUCAGCAGCUGGGGACCACGUGAACGGAACCUUGGGCGAGGUGAGUGCAUACAGCGGGGAAGCCAGGGUGCUGUAGCCCCGGAUAAAGUGGCUAUAAAAGUUGGCAAAAUUCCAGGAAACGUUACACACUGCACUCUGGACGUAGGCUGGUGCCAGUCCACUACCGCUCUCACCUUCACGGGAUCAAUCUGUUAAUUUCCUGCAGCGAUGAUGUAACAAAAGAAGGGGAUGGAAUUCACAUUUCUCUGCUUUCACAAAAAGCUGGUUCUCCAGGAGGUGCUGGAAGACCUGUCGGACGUGGAGCACGUGUUCUUGGGCUGAGUGGGAGAAAAUGAGGAUGUCGUCGAGGUAGACGAAGACGAACCGGUUCAACAUGUCGCGGAGAACAUCCUUAACCAGGGCCUGGAACACAGCUGGGGCAUUGGUAAGGUCGAAUGGCAUGACCAGAUAUUCGUAGUGACCGCUGGCUAUAUUGAAGGCAGUCUUCCACUCGUCCCUUCCCUGAAUCCGCACCAGAUGGUAGGCGUUCCGCAGGUCAACUUGGAGAAAACGGUGGCCCCCUGGAGUGGCUCGAAGGCCGAGGUGAUGAGUGGUAGCGGGUAGCAGUUAUUCACUGUGAUGUCAUUGAGGCCCCGGUAGUCGAUGCACGGGUACAGGGUUUUGUCCUACUUCUCCACAAAGUAGAACCCUGUGCCGGCGGGGGAGGCAGAAGGACAGAUACACCCUGCAGCUACGGAGUCCUCAAUGUAGUUCUCCAUAGCCUUGGUCUCCGGACCCAACAGAGAGUACAGUCGUCCCUGGGGCAGGGUGGUGCCAGGGAGAAGGUCGAUCCCACGGUCAUAGGGUUGAUGCGGAGGAAGUGAAGUGGCCCGGGCCUUACUGAAAACCUCCUGUAUAUCCUGGUAUUCCGCGGGAAUGGCAGAGAGGUCCGGGAGAACUACCGAGGCCACAGGAAGACUUCCCAGGGCAGGCUGCGCUGACUUCAAGCAAUGGAUGUGGCAGAACAGGCUCCAGCCCAUGAUGGCUCCAGCAGUCCAGUUAAUGAGGGGAUUCUGUCGCUGGAGCCAAGAUGAUCCCAAUACCACAGGAACCUGAAGAGACUUAAUUAGCAUGAAUUGGACUGCCUCGCUCUGUUUCCCUGACACUCGUAGGUUGAUGGGAGUGGUAUUGUGGGUGACCCGGCCUAUAGAGUGCCCGUCCAGUGCUCUAAGAUGCAUGGGAAUGGAGAGGGGCUCAGUGGGGAUGCCCAGUUCGGACACCAUGAUAGCUUACAUAAAACUCCCAUCGGCCCCAGAGUCGAUGAGUACGCAGAGAGAUUUCGACUGGUUACCCUACAGCAACAUGGCAUGGAAAGGGGUGCGAGUAAGGGGAGAGGAAAUGUUCUCCUUAUGGCCCACCAGAGUACUCGUCCCUACUGGUGAGCCUGAUCUCUUAGUGGACAGGAGGACACAUAAUCACCAGUAGUCCCGUAAUACAGGCAACUCUUCGUGUGAAGCCAGUGUAGGCAUUUGGCUGGGGACAGCCUAGCUCUGCCUAGUUGCAUCGGCUCGGGAAGAGGUGAAUUGGCAGACUUUGGAGACUCUCGGGUAGCCUCGGGUCCUCUCGGCCAUGGAUGACGUCGGUGUCUUCCGGGAUACCUCAGAAGCGAGGUGAAAUCUUUGGGAGGGCGUGUGACCUCCUCCUUCCUACAUUACUGUAGCCUCCCAUCGAUCCAGAUGGUCAAGGUAAUGAGCGAGUAGAGAUCCGUCGGUAGUUCUCAGGCUGCUAGCUCGUCCUUAACUUCCUCCGAUAAUCUGUGCAGGAACGUGUCGAACAGCGAUUCCAGGUUCCAGGCACUGUAAGUUGCCAGAGUCCAGAAAUCCCCCGCAUAGUCUGCCACACUGAGGGAGUCUUGCCAAAGCUGCAGUAACUACCGGGCAGCCUCUCUCCCAGACAAUGGAGAAUCUAAAACCUUCUUCACCUCCACCACAAACUCCUCCAGACUGAAGCAUUUGGCCGACUGUUGUUCCCACACGGCCGUAGCCCAGGCGAGAGCCCUCCUGGACAUCAGCCUGAUAAGGUACGUUAUCUUCGAGCGAUCCGAGGGGAAGGAGGAGGGCUGCAGUUCGAUGAUGAGAGAAACGCCGGACAGGUUCCCGACUCUCCAGCGAAGCAUUCUGGGGGAGGUAAGCAGAGUUAUCGGGAAACCGGGGGUGGCCGGGGUGGCCGUGCUGCUAACAGCCGGGUUACUGAGGGGCUGGGAGGUUACCAUCGUGGUAGGCGGCCAGACAGACAACCUGCGGAAUUCCUCCAGCAAUGUGUUCAACAUGCGGUCAUGGCGUUCGGCCAAGGUUUGGAACCCUUCCAUAAGACCACGAAGCAACUCCUCAUGCCUUCCAAUGGUGGCUCCUUGGGAGGAGAGGGCAUUGCGGAGCUGGUCCGAGUCUGCUGUCCGUCAUGGCCAGACCCAGAUGCAGACAGUGUCGAUGUAAGAAAAGUUUAUUACAAAAACAGUGGGGCAGGCCAACAACAGGCCAAGGGCAGGCAGAGGUCAGCAAUCCAGAGCAGAGUCCGAAAGGUACAAAACGGCAGGCAGGCUCAGGGUCAGGGCAGGCAGAGGUCAGUAAUCCAGGGUGGUGUGACAAGGUA